AUGAACGCUGGCGGCGUGCUUAACACAUGCAAGUCGAACGAGCCUUCGGGCUAGUGGCGGACGGGUGAGUAACGCGUGGGAAUCUGCCCUCAGGAGGGGGAUAACGGCCGGAAACGGCCGCUAAUACCCCAUAUGCCGAGAGGUGAAAUGAAUUUCGCCUGAGGAUGAGCCCGCGUCUGAUUAGCUAGUUGGUGGGGUAAUGGCCCACCAAGGCGACGAUCAGUAGCUGGUCUGAGAGGAUGAUCAGCCACACUGGGACUGAGACACGGCCCAGACUCCUACGGGAGGCAGCAGUGGGGAAUUUUCCGCAAUGGGCGAAAGCCUGACGGAGCAACGCCGCGUGAGGGAUGAAGGCCUCUGGGCUGUAAACCUCUUUUCUCAAGGAAGAAGACAUGACGGUACUUGAGGAAUAAGCCACGGCUAAUUCCGUGCCAGCAGCCGCGGUAAUACGGGAGUGGCAAGCGUUAUCCGGAAUUAUUGGGCGUAAAGCGUCCGCAGGCGGCCUUGUAAGUCUGUCGUUAAAGCGUGGAGCUUAACUCCAUUUCAGCGAUGGAAACUACAAGGCUUGAGUGUGGUAGGGGCAGAGGGAAUUCCCGGUGUAGCGGUGAAAUGCGUAGAUAUCGGGAAGAACACCAGUGGCGAAGGCGCUCUGCUGGGCCAUAACUGACGCUCAUGGACGAAAGCCAGGGGAGCGAAAGGGAUUAGAUACCCCUGUAGUCCUGGCCGUAAACGAUGAACACUAGGUGUCGGGGGAAUCGACCCCCUCGGUGUCGUAGCUAACGCGUUAAGUGUUCCGCCUGGGGAGUACGCACGCAAGUGUGAAACUCAAAGGAAUUGACGGGGGCCCGCACAAGCGGUGGAGUAUGUGGUUUAAUUCGAUGCAACGCGAAGAACCUUACCAGGGUUUGACAUCCUGCGAAUCCCUUGGAAACGAGGGAGUGCCUUCGGGAGCGCAGAGACAGGUGGUGCAUGGCUGUCGUCAGCUCGUGUCGUGAGAUGUUGGGUUAAGUCCCGCAACGAGCGCAACCCACGUCUUUAGUUGCCAGCAUUCAGUUGGGCACUCUAGAGAGACCGCCGGUGAUAAACCGGAGGAAGGUGUGGAUGACGUCAAGUCAUCAUGCCCCUUACAUCCUGGGCUACACACGUACUACAAUGCUACGGACAAAGGGUUGCAAGCUCGCGAGAGUUAGCUAAUCCCAUAAACCGUGGCUCAGUUCAGAUCGUAGGCUGCAACUCGCCUACGUGAAGGAGGAAUCGCUAGUAAUCGCAGGUCAGCAUACUGCGGUGAAUACGUUCCCGGGCCUUGUACACACCGCCCGUCACACCAUGGAAGUUGGCCAUGCCCGAAGUCGUUACUCCAACCCUUGUGGAGGAGGACGCCGAAGGUGGGGCUGAUGACUGGGGUGAAGUCGUAACAAGGUAGCCGUACCGGAAGGUGCGGCUGGAUCACCUCCU
rnacentral:rRNA from 2 species